rnacentral:rRNA from 1 species
AGCGUAGACGGUGUGGCAAGUCUGAUGUGAAAGGCAUGGGCUCAACCUGUGGACUGCAUUGGAAACUGUCAUACUUGAGUGCCGGAGGGGUAAGCGGAAUUCCUAGUGUAGCGGUGAAAUGCGUAGAUAUUAGGAGGAACACCAGUGGCGAAGGCGGCUUACUGGACGGUAACUGACGUUGAGGCUCGAAAGCUGGGGAGCAAACA